rnacentral:rRNA from 1 species
UGGCUUAGAAGCAGCCAUUCAUUUAAAGAGUGCGUAAUAGCUCACUGGUCGAGUGAAGUUGCGCGGAAAAUUACCGGGGCUAAGUUAUACACCGAAAUUGCGGAUUCAUUAAGAAAUUAAUGAGUGGUAGAGGAGCGUUCUAUACAGGAUGAAGUAUGAUCGAGAGGACAUAUGGACAGUAUAGAAGAGAGAAUGCCGGAAUGAGUAGCGAGAGCAAAGUGAGAAUCUUUGCCGUCGAAAAUCUAAGGUUUCCUGGGGAAGGUUCGUCCGCCCAGGGUAAGUCGGGACCUAAGGUGAGGCCGAAGGGCGUAGCCGAUGGACAGCAGGUUAAGAUUCCUGCACCAGUAUACAUGUAUAAUGCAUAAGAGGACACAUUUGAAGAAGGUGAGCGAGGAAGAGGAAAAACUCGUAUGGCAACAUAUAGUGAAAUUAAGUAACGAAUCAUCAAGAGGCAAGUGGCGAGAAAAGUCUUAUGUAGUUGUGUAGACUGCCCGUACCGCAAACCGACACAGGUAGAUGAGGAGAGGAUCCUAAGACGAGCGGGAGAAGCAUUGUUAAGGAACUCGGCAAAUUGACCCCGUAACUUAGGGAUAAGGGGUGCUGGUGUAAAAACCAGUCGCAGUAAAUAGGCCCAAGCAACUGUUUAACAAAAACACAGGUUUCUGCUAAAUCGCAAGAUGAAGUAUAGGAGCUGACUCCUGCCCAGUGCUGGAAGGUUAAGGGGAAAGGUUAAGAAUAAUUCAUUAUAUCUGAAGCUUUGAACUCAAGCCCCAGUGAACGGCGGCCGUAACUAUAACGGUCCUAAGGUAGCGAAAUUCCUUGUCAGGUAAGUUCUGACCCGCACGAAAGGAGUAAUGAUUUGGGCACUGUCUCAACAAUGUACCCGGCGAAAUUGUAGUACUAGUGAAGAUGCUAGUUACCUGCGACAAGACGGAAAGACCCCAUGGAGCUUUACUAUAGCCUGAUAUUGGGCUUUGGUAUCUUAUGUACAGGAUAGGUGGGAGACUAUGAGAUUAAGACGCAAGUCUUAAAGGAGUCAACCUUGGAAUACCACCCUUAAGAUAUUAGAGUUCUAACUUGUGAUCAUAAACUGGUCAGAGGACAUUGUCAGGUGGGUAGUUUGACUGGGGCGGUCACCUCCUAAAGAGUAACGGAGGUGCGCAAAGGUUUCCUCGGCACGGUCAGAAAUCGUGCUAAUGAGUGUAAAGGCAUAAGGAAGCUUAACUGAGAGAGAGACAUCUCGACCAGAUACGAAAGUAGGUCUUAGUGAUCCGGUGGUAGAAAAUGGAAUUGCCAUCGCUCAACGGAUAAAAGUUACCCUGGGGAUAACAGGCUUAUCUCCCCCAAGAGUUCACAUCGACGGGGAGGUUUGGCACCUCGAUGUCGGCUCAUCGCAUCCUGGGGCUGUAGUCGGUCCCAAGGGUUGGGCUGUUCGCCCAUUAAAGCGGUACGCGAGCUGGGUUCAGAACGUCGUGAGACAGUUCGGUCCCUAUCUGUCGCAGGCGCAGGAUAUUUGAAAGGAGCUGUCCUUAGUACGAGAGGACCAGGAUGGACAUACCAAUGGUGCAACAGUUGUCACACCAGUGGCACAGCUGUGUAGCUAAGUAUGGAAGGGAUAAACGCUGAAAGCAUCUAAGCGUGAAGCCCCCCUUAAGAUAAGAUAUCCCACAACGUCAAGUUGGUAAGAUUCCAGUUAGACUAACUGGUUGAUAGGUUAGAGGUGUAAGUGUGGUGACACAUUUAGCUGACUAAUACUAAUAAUCGAGGGCUUAACCAA